AAUUAUCAACCUUGAAAGCUUUGUUGCUCUUCUCGGCUUGGAUGUGAGGGCUUGCUGGCUUCCUUCAAUGGAUUGGUCUGCUCCCUUUAAAUGCAUUAGUGGGAUCUCUUGUGGACCGUCACUUUGGUGUGAUAAUUAUCUACGCCGUCUGACUUUGAAGCAAAAUUAUGGGAACCUGCUUAUAACCGUCCUUCACCGGACAACUUACCUUUUG
rnacentral:misc_RNA from 1 species